UGCUGAUGAUAUGGGAAAUCCCUAAUAAGUAACUUAAAUCUCUCCCAUGAAUGAUAGAGAUACUCAUAUGUCUUUUGUUUGAAACUCAAUAUCUCAUCCUCAAUCA